rnacentral:rRNA from 1 species
GACGAACGCUGGCGGCGUGCUUAACACAUGCAAGUCGAACAGAAAGGCCCUGCUUUUGUGGGGUGCUCGAGUGGCGAACGGGUGAGUAACACGUGAGUAACCUGCCCUUGACUUUGGGAUAACUUCAGGAAACUGGGGCUAAUACCGGAUAGGAGCUCCUGCUGCAUGGUGGGGGUUGGAAAGUUUCGGCGGUUGGGGAUGGACUCGCGGCUUAUCAGCUUGUUGGUGGGGUAGUGGCUUACCAAGGCUUUGACGGGUAGCCGGCCUGAGAGGGUGACCGGCCACAUUGGGACUGAGAUACGGCCCAGACUCCUACGGGAGGCAGCAGUGGGGAAUAUUGCACAAUGGGCGGAAGCCUGAUGCAGCAACGCCGCGUGCGGGACGACGGCCUUCGGGUUGUAAACCGCUUUCGCCUGUGACGAAGCGUGAGUGACGGUAAUGGGUAAAGAAGCACCGGCUAACUACGUG